rnacentral:rRNA from 1 species
AGAGUUUGAUCCUGGCUCAGAUUGAACGCUGGCGGCAUGCCUUACACAUGCAAGUCGAACGGCAGCACGGGAGCAAUCCUGGUGGCGAGUGGCGAACGGGUGAGUAAUAUAUCGGAACGUGCCCAGUCGUGGGGGAUAACGUAGCGAAAGCUACGCUAAUACCGCAUACGAUCUAUGGAUGAAAGCGGGGGAUCGCAAGACCUCGCGCGAUUGGAGCGGCCGAUAUCAGAUUAGCUAGUUGGUGGGGUAAAAGCCCACCAAGGCGACGAUCUGUAGCUGGUCUGAGAGGACGACCAGCCACACUGGAACUGAGACACGGUCCAGACUCCUACGGGAGGCAGCAGUGGGGAAUUUUGGACAAUGGGCGCAAGCCUGAUCCAGCAAUGCCGCGUGCAGGAUGAAGGCCUUCGGGUUGUAAACUGCUUUUGUACGGAACGAAGCGGCGAGCUCUAAUACAGUUUGCUAAUGACGGUACCGUAAGAAUAAGCACCGGCUAACUACGUGCCAGCAGCCGCGGUAAUACGUAGGGUGCAAGCGUUAAUCGGAAUUACUGGGCGUAAAGCGUGCGCAGGCGGUUAUGUAAGACAGAUGUGAAAUCCCCGGGCUUAACCUGGGAACUGCAUUUGUGACUGCAUAGCUAGAGUACGGUAGAGGGGGAUGGAAUUCCGCGUGUAGCAGUGAAAUGCGUAGAUAUGCGGAGGAACACCGAUGGCGAAGGCAAUCCCCUGGACCUGUACUGACGCUCAUGCACGAAAGCGUGGGGAGCAAACAGGAUUAGAUACCCUGGUAGUCG